GCAAACUUGGUCAUUUAGAGGAAGUAAAAGUCGUAACAAGGUAUCCGUAGGUGAACCUGCGGAUGGAUCAUUAUCAAUUUUUUUACAUGCUUGGGGAGGCUCUAUGCCUCUUCAAUCUUCUACGUAAACCCGUUGAACUUGUUAUAUAUUCAUAUGCCUUAUUUGUGUGGGGGCUUUGUUGUUAACAGCAGCACUCCCCACACAAUUGGGACUAUAUCUUUAUACUAUACAUACAUACUACAUCUGUAGACAUACUAUCUCAACAACAACAACAACAUAUUGAAUCUUGUAGGACUCUUUGUCUUGGCUAGGUGGGUAAAACCCUUAGCUAUCAAAAAACAAAACAUAAUACAACUUUCAGCAAUGGAUCUCUAGGCUCUCGCAUCGAUGAAGAACGCAGC
rnacentral:misc_RNA from 1 species